rnacentral:lncRNA from 1 species
GUGGGGUGUGUGGUAAAGGCUGUGUGUGUGGGCAUGUGGGGUGUGUGGUAAAGGCUGUGUGUGUGGGCAUGUGGGGUGUGUGGUAAAAGGCUGUGUGUGUGGGCAUGUGGGGUGUGUGGUAGAAGGCUAUGUGGGGUGUGUGGUAGAAGGCUAUGUGUGUGGGGGGUGUGUGGUAGAAGGCUAUGUGUGUGGGGGGUGUGUGGUAGAAGGCUGUGUGUGGGGGGUGGUAGAAGGCUGUGUGUGGGGGGGGUGGUAGAAGGCUGUGUAUGGGGUGGGUGGUAGAAGGUGGGAUGUGUGGUAGAAGGCAGUAUUUGGGGUGUGUGGUAGAAGGCUGUGUGUGGGGAUGUGGGGUGUGUGGUAGAAGGCUGUGUAUGUGGGGUGUGUGGUAGAAGGCUGUGUGUGUGGGGAUGUGGGGUGUGGUAUAAGGCUGUGUGUGGGGUGUGUGGUAGAAGGCUGUGUGUGGGGUGUGUGGUAGAAGGCUGUGUAUGUGGGGUGUGUGGUAGAAGGCUGUGUGUGUGUGGAGGAACAAAGGAACAUGGAGGAACAAAGUGUUACACAACACACAUUUGUCUGUUCUUGCUCAUUUGGCUAGCUAAGAUACUAACCUGCCAAUACCUGAACACACUUUCUAUGUAUUCAGCAUCCAUUUACUGAUCUGAUUAAAACACAAUGUCUAUGUAUUCAUCAUCAUUAAAACAUCUUAUUAAAACACACAGUCCUUUCAGUGCUCCUAUGUAUGACUAACAGUAGGCUUAACAGUCAUUCCAUUGAUUUAAUCAUACACUCCUCCUCAUGGGGACAUGGGAAAUGACCCCACGAGAGGGAAUGUUCCUG